GAGUAUCUAUCGUCGCAAAGUUAGUAAACAUACAACUAACGACGUUAAUUGACAAGAUGCACUUAUCUAUAUAGUGGUCUGUCUGACAGUAACCCCUGAUGUGAAUUGUGCGGUCUCUCUUCGCGGCGAUUGCACAACACUUUCGCUUGCGCACAGAUUUCUUCCCUUUCGGAAAGAUUGCGAUUGAGAAAUGGAGAAGAAGCACAUGAUCGGAGGAACAACAGAGGUCUUAGCCGCGAGUGCGCUUGAUUCGUUAUGUUUUUAAUUGGACAAAACGGUGGUGUGAACCGCAUACCGAAAGAUACAAUGAAUUGAAAAAGACAAGCUGCGUUGGGCUCUUGGUGAAGAAAAGCCCCCCAAAAAGCAGCAGAUUUGACACUUUGAAGAUGAGGUCAACGCACUUGUCGGACUUAUUAAAUAAGCUGAUGGGCCGGUAUCCAGGCUCGCCGCCAGAGUCCC